UUAUUCGCAGUAUUUGCAACCCACAGGAGUCUUUCUCUGUACGGCCUCUGAAUACAAUGUAUUCCUGAACAUCUGUUACUCUUCUGGAUGGCAAGGUUAUUUCAAGGAUACCGCUCCUUAUGAUCAGCAGGAGAACUUGUUGGUCAACCCACACGACGAACACAAAUUUCCUUUAUCCACAAAGAUUUAAGGGUUUAUGACAUUAACAGAAUGUGGGAAGAUGUCCAGCUGAUCCGGACACAGCAGCAGGCCGCUGGAGCCGCGAGGCAUGAUUUCCUCCCUGAUGGACGAGUCACAGAUGUGGGGAGAGACAGACGGAGUGAAAGGAGUGAAGUAGAAAGUCAGGAUGACAUCAAAGGAAUUUGGAGUCUGUCAGGCUUCUUAUUUUGUACUCAAUUAUAUCUGCUCUUCAUUUACAAUAGAAUAGAAUAGAGUAGAAUAGAACAGAACAGAAUAUAAUAGAAGCUUGUAUUAUUUUAAAGCCUCAUGACAUCUGGGAAUAUUAGGUAACCAAUGAAUGUCAGUAGAUAAAAAUAACUAAAUAUACAUGGUGAGUAAUGACAAGUACACGAAUGGGUGAGUGGGGGUGUAUUCUGCGGAGUGUUUUUCAGAAGCACAGGUUCAGUAAGAUCGUUGUGUAGAGAUGAAGUUGAAGGUGCAGUAACAUCUUAAUUAUUCGGCGUCCUGAUGGUGAUCGAGAAGAAGUCGUUGAGUUGUCUGCUGGAUAGAAGUAGCUGGAGGACAUCAACUGGUAUCCAUGCAGCUGUGACUGCAAGGCAUCAGUGGGAGCGGGAAUGCGAAGGAAGCCUGGAGGGGCUGCAUGGCUGCCACACGCCAACGUCCGCAUGUUGCUGUUCACCAUUUAAUCGAACCCUGCACAUGCACACUAUGUCACGUGUGCCCACAGUUCACAACAUUUGUUGGAUCAUCUCUCCACCUGGU